GGGAGGCAUAUUUGGGAAAGUGAAGGAGGAGAAGUCGGAAAUUGACGUAUACGACAUCAGUUUCAAGGAAGAAGCCUCAACCUCCGAAGAAAGAAAGACAAAUAAUUCUGAUCAGUCCACUGGCUUGGACCCGGAGAAGAUACAAAACCUCAUGAGGAAGAUAGAAUCAACCCUAGAGCAGAAUCCGGACAGGAAUAGGAAACGGAAGUCGACCACAGUCGUCUUCUACUACCACGUGCAGAAUAAAAAGAAGAAUGAAAAUGGGCCAAUGGAGGAUGAAGAAACCCCAGAGGAGUCUUCCAACACUUCUCCUGACAAUUCUCCAACUGCUGCUGCUGCUGCUAAGUCGCUUCAGUCAUGUCCGACUCUAUGCGACCCCAUGGACUGCAGCCUACCAGGCUCCUCCAUCCAUGGGAUUUUCCAGGCAAGAGUACUGGAGUGAGGUGCCAUCGCCUACCACCUAAAAGCUAUUUGACCUUGAGUAAGUGUCUUAACUUCAUUACCACUUAGUUUUCUCAUCUGUAAAAUGGGAAUGAUGAUAGCAUGUACCUAUAUCUUAGAAUCAUUCUGGGAUUGAAUGGAACAAUUAUGUAAAACACCUGAUAUUAUUAUUAUUAGAACAAUAAUAUGCAUAGGAAUAAAUGGCUUCUCCUUUUAUCGAUAAUAUAAAUAUGUACAUACAUACUUCUGGCUUCUUUCU